rnacentral:sRNA from 1 species
UGCUUGCAAAUCAACUCUGCUGCAUGCGUUCACAAGUUUCAUAAAGAUUGCAUGCUUUCUGUUUUCAAUACAAAUUGUAUUUUUUUUUCAUACCCAUCCUUGCUUUUUAUUUUUUAAUUUUUGUUUCCCUUUUCUUGGUUGGAUGCCUGUGUGUGUUUAUUCCAAAUCCCUGUCCAGUCCUGGAGUUUGAACUACGGAAAGCCAAGGAGACCAUUCAGGCCCUCCGAGCCAACCUGACAAAGGCCGCAGAACAUGAAGUUCCUUUACAGGAACGAAAAAAUUACAAAUCAAGUCCUGAAAUUCAGGAGCCAAUCAAACCUCUUGAAAAGAGAGCUCUAAACUUCUUAGUCAAUGAAUUUUUAUUGAAGAAUAACUAUAAGCUUACAUCAAUAACCUUUUCAGAUGAAAACGAUGAUCAGGAUUUUGAAUUAUGGGAUGAUGUAGGAUUAAACAUUCCAAAACCUCCAGACUUAUUGCAACUCUACCGGGAUUUUGGAAAUCAUCAAGUAACUGGAAAAGAUCUUGUAGAUGUGGCCAGUGGAGUAGAAGAAGAUGAAUUAGAGGCCCUUACACCAAUUAUA